rnacentral:rRNA from 1 species
CCUACGGGAGGCAGCAGUGAGGAAUAUUGGUCAAUGGUCGGGAGACUGAACCAGCCAAGCCGCGUGAGGGAUGAAGGUACAGAGUAUCGUAAACCUCUUUUGUCAGGUAACCAAGGCGGGGCCGCGUCCCCGGAUGAGUGUACCUGAAGCAACAUCAUCUGCUAACUCCGUGCCAGCAGCCGCGGUAAUACGGAGGAUGCUAUCGUUAUCCGGAUUUAUGGGGUUAAAAGGGUGCGCAGGCGGUCUGUUAAGUCAGCGGUCAAAGCCCGGGGCUCAACCCCGGCCCGCCGGUGAAACUGGCAGUAUCGAGGUGGAGAGAAGUAUGCGGAAGGCGCGGUGUAGCGGUGAAAUGCAUAGAUAGCGCGCAGAAAUCCGAUUGCGAAGGCAGCAUGCCGGCUCCACACUGACGCUGAGGCACGAAAGCGUGGGUAUCGAACAGGAUUAGAGA